rnacentral:pre_miRNA from 1 species
AGCCUUCCCUAUCCGUGCUGAGAUUUCGUCAGCGAUCAACCCGUUGGCGUUAUCUGAUGCAACUCUCCAAAUAAGUGAAGCA